UACGUAGGUGGCAAGCGUUUGUCCGGAUUUAUUGGGUUUAAAGGGUGCGUAGGCGGUUGUAUAAGUCAGUGCUGAAAUAUCCCAGCUUAACUGGGAGGGUGGCAUUGAUACUGUAUGACUUGAGUAGAGUUGAGGUUGGCGGAAUUGACGGUGUAGCGGUGAAAUGCUUAGAUAUCGUCAAGAACACCGAUAGUGAAGACAGCUAACUAAGCUCUAACUGACGCUGAGGCACGAAAAAUGUGGGGAUCAAACAGG
rnacentral:rRNA from 1 species